rnacentral:rRNA from 1 species
GACGAACGCUGGCGGCGUGCUUAACACAUGCAAGUCGAACGGAAAGACCCUGCUUUUGUGGGGUGCUCGAGUGGCGAACGGGUGAGUAACACGUGAGUAUCCUCCCCUUGACUGUGUGAUAACUUCUGGAAACUGGGGCGAAUACCGGAUAGGAGCUCCUGCUGCGUGGGGGGGGUUGGAAAGUUUCGGCUGUUGGGGAUGGACUCGAGGCUUAUCAGCUUGUUGGUGGGGUAGUGGCUUACCAAGGGUUUGACGGGUAGCCGGCAUGAGAGGGUGAACGGCGACAUUGGGACUGAGGUACGGCGCAGACGGCUACGGGAGGCAGCAGUGGGAAAUAUUGCACAAUGGGCGCAAGCCUGAUGCAGCAACGCCGCGUGCGGGAUGACGGGCUUCGGGUUGAAAACAGAUUUCGCCUGUGACGAAGCGUGCGUGACGGUAAUGAGUCAAGAAGCACCGGCUAACUACGUG